GAGUUUAAGAUAACAUUAUGAAGUUGAAGUACCUUUUUACAAAUGUUAUUUAUCUUCUCUAUUCUUUAUUCUUUCUUCUUUCAGCCAGUUGGCGAUUACAAACCCUAGUUUGUAAGGAGUUCCUGUUUAAUUCCCCAUGGGUAUUAUGUAAUGACAGUUUCAAAACAAAGUACUGUGACCUUCAUGAGGGGGAGUAUAUUAAUUACUCAGGUUAUGCUAUUCCUGAGAAAUAAUCUCUACACAAUUAAAAGGUUGUUUUCUUCUGAUGAGUUUGGAGGACAUUCUGCAGAUUAACAAGUUUUAUGCAAGGGAUUCAUUGUCAAACCUCUAGGAAGGAAGACAGAUGUUGGGAAAGCACCUUCUCAAUUUUGAGGAUGCACCAGAACACUUACACAGCAAGAAAAAAGAGCAACCAAUUUGCACACAACAAGGUCAUAUGUAGAAUGAUGAGAUCUAAAGGCAUAAAAUAUACAGCACGGCAAUUGAUCUUUCAGUGUUAAUGCAGUUGGUGUUCAUGCCUAUGAUCCACUUAACACUAUUCCCAUUUUCUUUAUCUAACCCAUUGACCUAUACCUUUAUUUCUUUCUCCCACACGUAUUUGUCUAAUUUCCCCUUAGAUGCAAAUAUGUUAUUCUCCUCAAACUUUAUUGCCUUUGCUGGUGUAAGCUGAUGCAUCAAUAUUGAGCAGGAUAAGAUU